UACGGAGGGUGCGAGCGUUGUCCGGAAUCACUGGGCGUAAAGGGCGCGUAGGCGGCAUGCCAAGCGUGUGGUGAAAGCCCGGGGCUCAACCCCGGGUCGGCCGUGCGGACUGGCGUGCUCGAGCACUGUAGGGGCGGGUGGAAUUCCGGGUGUAGCGGUGGAAUGCGUAGAGAUGUGGAGGAACACCGAUGGCGAAGGCAGCCUUCUGGGCCAACACUGACGCUCAUGCACGAAAGCGUGGGGAGCAAACAGG
rnacentral:rRNA from 1 species